ACUCCUACGGGAGGCAGCAGUGGGAAUAUUGCACAAUGGGGAAAGCCCAUCGAUGCAGCCAUGCCGCGUGUGUGAAGAAGGCCUCGGGUUGUAAAGACACUUUCAGUUGUGAGGAAAGGUUAGUCGCUAAUAUCGGCUAGCUGUGACGUUAGCAACAGAAGAAGCACCGGCUAACUCCGUGCCAGCAGCCGCGGUAAUACGGAGGGUGCGAGCGUUAAUCGGAAUUACUGGGCGUAAAGCGCGUGUAGGUGGCUUGUUAAGCCAGAUGUGAAAG
rnacentral:rRNA from 1 species